GUAUAGCUCAGCCUGGUAGAGCACUACGUUCGGGACGUAGGGGUCGCAGGUUCGAAUCCUGCUAC
rnacentral:tRNA from 1 species